rnacentral:rRNA from 1 species
CAGCAGCCGCGGUAAUACAGAGGGUGCAAGCGUUAAUCGGAAUUACUGGGCGUAAAGCGCGCGUAGGUGGUUUGUUAAGUUGGAUGUGAAAUCCCCGGGCUCAACCUGGGAACUGCAUCCAAAACUGGCAAGCUAGAGUAUGGUAGAGGGUGGUGGAAUUUCCUGUGUAGCGGUGAAAUGCGUAGUUAUAGGAAGGAACACCAGUGGCGAAGGCGACCACCUGGACUGAUACUGACACUGAGGUGCGAAAGCGUGGGGAGCAAACAGGAUUAGAUACCCGAGUAGUCCCUGUCUCUUAUAC